CUAGUUGGAUAACUGAGGUAAUUCUUGAGCUAAUACACGCAAUCUAAGCCACAUCCGUGGUGCGUUUAUUUGAUUAAACUAGAAAUUGGUUGACUCAAAAUAUCUUUGCUGAACUACUCACGUAGUCAUGCCGUAUAAGUAUCUGCUUUAUCAACUUUCGAUGGUAGGGUAUUGGCCUACCAUGGUGUUGACGGAUAACGGAGAAUCAGGGUUCGACUCCGGAGAGGGAGCCUGAGAAACGGCUACCACAUCCAAGGAAGGCAGCAGGCGCGAAAAUUACCCAAUUUUAGUUAAAAGAGGUAGUGACGAAAAAUGACAAGGCUACAAAUUUUGUUUGUAGUCAUUGGAAAUCUUCGAGUCUAAAUAACUCGUUGGUAAAGGAAAGGGCAAGUCUGGUGCCAGCAGCCGCGGUAAUACCAGCUUUCCAAGUGCAUAAAAUGAUUGUUGUGGUUAAAAAGCUCGUAGUUGGAUUUUAACAGACUGUCUAUGAUCGUCAAUGACGUUUCAUAGCAUCUGCCAGCGAAUAUAACUAUUCGCUAGUUACUUUGAAUAAAUCAGAGUGUUCAAAACAGACUUACGUCCGUAUAUCCUAGCAUGGAAUAACACUAUAGCUCAAAAUUGUGUGGUUUCACUAUUUUGAUCAUGAUUAAUAGGAACAAACGGGGGCAUUCGUAU
rnacentral:rRNA from 1 species